rnacentral:misc_RNA from 1 species
GUAUUUGUUUAUUGUAGGUUACAUUCAUUGACAUUAUGUUUGUAAUUGGUGCCCGAAGGCAAAUAGUUCACAGGUGUUAGGAUAAUGAAAGCUCAGCUCGAAAGCGUUGCCAUUUAUUAAUGAUCCUUCCGCAGGUUCACCUACGGAAA